GUGAAACAGAAGUCGCUCAGUCGUGUCCGACUCUGUGCAACUCCAUGGACCGCAGCCCAUCAGGCUGCUCUGUCCCUGGGAGUCUCCAGGCAACGGCAGCCCACCAGGCUCCCCGUCCCUGGGAGUCUCCAGGCACGAACACUGGAGUGGGCUGCCAUUGCCUUGCAUCCUCUCUGCGGAGCUUGGUGGACUCUCCCACCCAUUCUGUGCGCGGGCUCACACCUGGGCUGCCCCGCGAGCCCGACCCUAGGGCCCCCAUUGCUGCAGGCAAGGACUGCCCUGGCCCACUGCUCUCCUGUGUCCGCCGAGACCUCCAGCUCACCCGGUCUCUGCAGUUAGACGCCCACAGCCAGCUGGCCCAGGAGACAGAGCCCCACCUCCACCAGGCACAGACAGCCUGAUUUCCGGCCCUGCCAGCAGAGGGCGCGAGGUGUGCCCGAGUUUCAAAGCUCUGCAUGUAAAGAGUAAGCACGAAGGUGAAUUGGCAGAGAAGUUAGAUGGGAACAGGGGAAAAGGAAAGACGUGAGGAGACACCUUGAAGUGACGGGGGGCUCAGGAUGAGUCCCGAGGCCUUCUCUCCUCAGCCCACACCCUCGCCUGAGCCUUCCCCAUCUCGUGGGCCUCAUCUGACCUGGAGCAGGUCCUCUCCUGAGAGACGCCCAAGCAUCCACCUGGGGAGAUGGGCCUCCUGUCCAGCGGCCUCUCCCUCAUCACACCCACCAGCUGCUGGAGCUCGUGCCGUCUUCUGGCCAGAGUCAUUUAAACCACCACUUAUAUUUGGAGAAAUUUUCUAAUAAGUCAAGAAGGAAAAAGUCAAAGGCUCCAACACAGAUACCUUUGAGAAGGAGAAUGGUCCUAGCCUUUCGGCAGGAAAGGGAGGCUGUCCGGGGCCUCGGCUGAGAGAGAUGACGGAGGGUAAGGCAUGAGGUGGUGGGGCUGCACGGUGCUCCCUGCAGACUGCACUGUCUGGAAGGCGCGGCCUUUAGAAGGGCCCCAAGGAGGCGCGGGGCUGCCCUGGAGCAAGACCAGGAGUCAGCUGUCUCCAGGCCAUAGGCCAGCAAAGGUGCCCCACCUGUAAACCACCAUGGAGACCACGCUGGCUGCCUCUAUCCACGUCCAAAAGGGGACCGUCAGUGUCCUCAGUCACAUGGUGCCAGCUUCCCUCCCUCAGCACCGCCACCGUGAGCGUGACUUGGCUUUCUCUCACUUCAGCAGACCCUCCCCUCCACCAGGUUUCAAGACGGGAGGAGCUUUUCUAUUCCUGUUUGAGUCCCGCACAGUUCCAAACCCUACUGGAUGAGUCCUACAAAACAAAGUCCGUUCUCAGAACUCACCUCCCCACGCUGACUGCGCCGACAGGAGGCCUCUCGGCAUCCGAUCCCCGUGCCGGGACUCAUCCCUCGUUUCUGGAAGAUCAGGAUGUGCUCAUCCCCUUGAAGUUAGCACCAAAAGGAGGCACCAGGACACAGGAAGAACAGGUGUCCAGCCUUUGCUGACCUCCUGGCCCCUCCGGGCUCAGCGCGAACUGCGGGAACAAUGCCACUCAAACUGGGGUCAGUGUCUGCUCCAGCGCAGGCUGAGCAGGCUGGUCUUUGAGGUUUGCUACCAUUUCAGGGGCUCACCUGAGAUGGGGUGGGGAGUUGGCACUGGCUUCAGCACCUACCAGCCUCAAGAGGGGCCACUGCUGGGGCUGCGCCUGGACCCCUGUCCACACAACAGGCCUAGCUGGCCUGCUCCUGAGCCACUGGGAAGCCAGGUGCCUGCAGGCAUCUUCACCUCUUCUGGUGGCCAGAGACGGUGCCCAGGCUCCUGCAGCUGUGUCCAGGCUUCCG
ensembl:lncRNA